ensembl:lncRNA
AAAUAAUCAAAGAAGCUUAGAAAGAGCAGAUAAAGAAAAUAAAACUUUAUUGCUUAUUCAACCUUCCAAAGGAAUGAAACACGAGCACAGCCUGCUCAAGUGCAGAGACACAGGGCAGAACAGAAGCCUGCACACAGUAGGGCAGUCCAGUGGGACCAUAGAGCCUGUGGAUGAGCAGAGCAGACACACGCAACAUGCGUGUCCGCUGUUCCUUGCCACCCCAUCUGCAUGCUGCACUGGUGACCCCUGAGCACAGCUUCCUGGGAGCUCCUCACUGCAUGGAGUUAAGCGAGACUCAAAGCAAAGACAAGCACUUCUGCUGAAAACGAUGACACAAAAGGAAAGAGAAAGAAGAUGAACCCACAGCCCCUUCUGCCAUCAAUCCUCCUUUCUCCUCGUAAGCUGAAGGAAAUUUAAUGCUAAAUGUCUGCUUUCUGGGUUCAAAAAGCCAGGAGAAUUUCUGGAAUUUCCAUUUGUGAGAUGAUGGCAAAAGGAAAGUUUUAUAUUUAUCAGGAAUCAGAGGCCUUUGGGAGUACUUGGAGUCCACAGAGGAAGGAGACCCUACCUCAGCGCCUCAGCUCUACUCUGCACACCAUCUAAGCUCUCUGAAGGCCUCUGGGUAAUGACUGAUUUCCUGUCGUUGCGCUUGGCCAGCCUCAGGGCACAGUGAGGGGAGGAGAAUGCCUAACCAGGGCUUGUGGCCUAUGAGUCAUAACAUUUCCAUAUUUAUCCUGCACCAACAACCAGGACCAAGAAUGACCUGCCAAUGUCCAGCUUUGGGACCAGACUGAUCUCAGCUGAAAUCUCAGCGGGCCGCGGUGGAUCCCUCACUUCCUAACAGUGAAAUGCUGAAGAUGGCAGCAUAGGAGGGCUCUGAACUCACCUCCUCCCAUGGACACAGCAAAUUUACAACCACCCUGGAAAAAUGACACCUGAAAGAGAACCAGAAACUGCAUAAAAAGAACCCCCACAACAGGGGACAGUGCAGACUGAAGUGGAAGAAGCAGAAAUUCCUUUCUGGAGAGGGAAAAGCCAUAUUCUAGCCACAGUGCUUCUUGGCCGAGAGCAAUCUUAAGGUUUGGUCUCCUGCAGUGAUGGCUUGCGCUGUUGACCACACACGGUGUUGCAGCUCUGCUCCCACAGCUAACCAACCUCUUCUUAGUACCUGUGUUCUAGAACUCCUUAGAGAGAAAUCUGAUUGACCCAGCUUGGGCCAAGUAUCUGCCCCUGGUCCAACGGGGGGCCAGCUCCAGGGGCAAUGGCCAGCCCAGCAUCCCUGAAAGAAGAGUCUGGGUGGGGAGGCAAUGAUGGAUGCUUGUCAUUGAGCUGUAGGCACAGUGGACUGCAUAUGUUCCACCUCGGAGCUUUGUCAUGCAUAGGACAACGUGUAGAAAACACCUAACCAGACACACAGUAGACACUCAGUAAAGAUGAGCUUCUUCUCUACCUCAUUCUUCUUCCCAAGAAUUCAUCAGCAUUUAGGAUCCUGGUUAACCAUGUCUAGCAGGAUAGCCUGGGUAGGGUGGCCUUCUGAACCCGUGGUCUGCUCCCUUGCAAGCUGCACAGCUAGUGCCAUCUCAGGGCUCCAGCACAUUCUCAGCUCCCAGCUCCACAGGACAAACGGAAUCUUCAGGGCUGCCAGCUCAGGACACUGGGGCGUAGUCACACACCUCUCCUUCUUCACACUCUAGAGAAGUGUGACCAUUUGUCAAAGAUUUUUUUUUUUUGGCAGAAAAGGCGACUGAAAUUAUGGAUGUGUAAAAUUGUACCUUGAUCUCAUGGGUCUAAACUGGAAUCCAAAUGCUUGACUGAAUGCAUGGAUGCCACAGCACGUGUGUUCUUUUAUGCCAGUGCAUGGGCAGCGAAAACUUUGUAAUCUUAACAAACAGACACAUGGCUUUUAAACUUAGCAUGAAGGGUUGAUACAGAUGUCACGUUUAGUUCAGCCCUUGUUCUGGCACCCACCGCGUGAGCGCCCUGCCCCUCACUGGGCGUCUGCAGUAGGACAGUGGCCGGGGCUAUGACAUUGCCCAGCAAGUUGCUGUCCUCACAGUGUGCCUUGGCCCUCAGGAAUCUGCUCACAGGGGCAGGCUCUGAGGGAGGGGCUGCCUGGUGUAUUUUCAUUUCGAAGUGCUGUGUUUCCACCUGUAGUACACUAAAGAUGCGUUGGUCUAGCAUUUAUUAUUUCCUGAAGGUAAAAAAGAAACUCCUUCCUUCUCAG